rnacentral:lncRNA from 1 species
CUUCAAGAAUUUCACCAUCAUCAUCAAAAUUAACUCUCUUGCUAGAAGAGAUAUCACUAAAAUCAUCAAAAACAAUAUGUAUGGAUUCUUCUAUAACUAGGGUUCUUUUAUUAAAGAUUCUAUAGGCUUUACUAGUUGUGGAGUACCCCAAGAAUAUACCCUCAUCAGAUUUAGAGUCAAAUUUUCCUAGAUUAUCUUUCCCAUUAUUAUGAACAAAACACCUACAUCCAAAAAUAU